CCUACGGGAGGCAGCAGUGAGGAAUAUUGGUCAAUGGGCGCGAGCCUGAACCAGCCAAGUCGCGUGAGGGAUGACGGUCCUACGGAUUGUAAACCUCUUUUGCCGGGGCGCAGGCGUGCGUUCGUGAACGCGCGUCGAGAGUACCCGGAGAAAAAGCCUCGGCUAACUCCGUGCCAGCAGCCGCGGUAAUACGGAGGAUGCGAGCGUUAUCCGGAUUGAUUGGGUUUAAAGGGUGCGUAGGCGGGAUGCCACGUCAGCGGUAAAAAUGCGGUGCUCAACGCCGUCGAGCCGUUGAAACUGGCGGUCUUGAGUGGGCGAGAGGUAUGCGGAAUGCGUGGUGGAGCGGUGAAAUGCAUAGAUAUCACGCAGAACGCCGAUUGCGAAGGCAGCAUACCGGCGCCCUACUGACGCUGAGGCACGAAAGCGUGGGUAGCGAACAGGAUUAGAUACCCCUGUAGUC
rnacentral:rRNA from 1 species